UGUGCAGGUGGCUGAUUAAAGUCAAAAGAUGAAAUCCCGAGGCUCAACUUCAGAACUGUCUUUGAUACUGGUCAGCUUGAGGCUAGUAAAAGGAGAGCGGAAUUCCCGGCGGAGCGGUGAAAUGCGUAGAUAUCGGGAGGAACACCAGAGGCGUAAGCGGUUCUCUAGGCUAGUCCUGACACUGAGACACGAAAGCUAGGGGAGCAAACGGGAUUAGAUACCCCGGUAGUCCUAGCCGUAAACGAUGGACACUAGAUGUUCUCACGUUCAUGUGGGAGUGUCGUAGCUAACGCGUUAAGUGUCCCGCCGUGGGGAGUACGGUCGCAAGGCUGAA
rnacentral:rRNA from 1 species